rnacentral:rRNA from 1 species
GUCAUGGGAGGAAAGUGGUGGUAUGUUAUUAGCGCUACUGUUGGACGUUAACGACAGGAGAAGCACCGGCUUACUUCGGUGCAGGCAGCCGGGGUAAUUACGGGGGGUGCGAGCGGUUAUUCGAAUUUACUGGCCUAAAGGGCUACGCGGUGGUUUUGUUAGUCGGGAUGAAAGCCCCGGGCUUCAACUCUGGGAAGCAUUUUAAACUGGCAGACUAGAGAGUGUGUAUAGGGGGGUUGGAAUCAGGGUAGCGCGGAAAAUGUAGAGAUUGAAGGAAACCGGAUGGAAGGGGCCCCCCGGACAGAUACUGACACUCAGAUGUGAAAAGUGGGGAGCAAACAGGAUUUGAUACCCCGGUAGUCCACGCGCUAAACGAUAUGUACUUGGGGAGCUCGGCUCUUAGCAGUGGCUUUUGAAAGUAACGCCAUAAGUUAGACGCCUGGGGAAUUCGGUCGCAAGGUUUAAAAUUAAAAGAAUUGGCGGGGGGCCGCCACAACGGUGGGGCCAGUGGUUUAAUUUGAAGCAACCGGAAGAACCUUUCCUACUCCUGACAUCCCGGGAACUUUCCCAGAAAGGAUUGGGGCCUUUGGGAAAUUUGGAUCCGGGGGUGCCAGGCCGUUGUUCAGUUGGGUUUGGAAAAUGUGGGGUAAAUUCCCCCACGGGGCCCACCCCUUUCCUUUUUUUCCCACGGAUUAGGUCGGGAACUCCAGGGAGACUGCCGGUGAUAAACCGGAGGAAGGUGGGGACGACGUCAAGUCAUCAUGGCCCUUACGAGUAGGGCUACACACGUGCUACAAUGGCGCAUACAGAGGGCUGCGAACUUGCGAGAGUGAGCGAAUCCCAAAAAGUGCGUCGUAGUCCGGAUUGGAGUCUGCAACUCGACUCCAUGAAGUCGGAAUCGCUAGUAAUCGUGGAUCAGAAUGCCACGGUGAAUACGUUCCCGGGCCUUGUACACACCGCCCGUCACACCAGGGGAGUGGGUUGGUAAAAGAAAGUGGUUAGUUAACAUCCGGAGGACGUCAACCACGAGUAACC